rnacentral:rRNA from 1 species
AUUGAACGCUGGCGGCAUGCCUUACACAUGCAAGUCGAACGGUAACAGGUCUUCAGAUGCUGACGAGUGGCGAACGGGUGAGUAAUACAUCGGAACGUGCCCGAUCUUGGGGGAUAACGAGGCGAAAGCUUUGCUAAUACCGCAUACGAUCUACGGAUGAAAGCGGGGGAUCUUCGGACCUCGCGCGGACGGAGCGGCCGAUGGCAGAUUAGGUAGUUGGUGGGAUAAAAGCUUACCAAGCCGACGAUCUGUAGCUGGUCUGAGAGGAUGAUCAGCCACACUGGGACUGAGACACGGCCCAGACUCCUACGGGAGGCAGCAGUGGGGAAUUUUGGACAAUGGGCGAAAGCCUGAUCCAGCCAUGCCGCGUGCAGGAUGAAGGCCUUCGGGUUGUAAACUGCUUUUGUACGGAACGAAAAGCCUCUUUCUAAUAAAGAGGGGUCAUGACGGUACCGUAAGAAUAAGCACCGGCUAACUACGUG